GUCUAUGGCCAUAUCACCCUGAAUGCACCCAAUUUCACUGGAUCUUGGAAGAUAAGCAGGAUCAUGCCUGGAUGAGAGACCUCCUGGGAAUAUUGGGUGCUGUAGGCA
ensembl:rRNA 5S_rRNA 5S ribosomal RNA